GUUAAAUGUGUGCUGAAUGUUAUGGAGUUUAUAGGGAUAAACACUGUUCUUGCCUCAAGAAAUUUGCUUUAACUCAUGUAGAUAAGAUUGCAGAAAAAAAGCAAGAUAAACAUCAUGUGUAAGGAUAAAUGUGAAUAAAAGGGUUCAGAGGGGAAAGAUGUCCAGAGUUCUCGGGUACUGCGGUAUUCAUUUAGGACAGUGAGCCAAACUGAAAGUCAAGCUUUUGCUGAUUUAUGGUGAUAAGUAAGAAGUCAUGAAGGAAUGAGUGGGUUCCUUCAGUGUUCCAUUUUUCCCAGCAAAUGACACUAGUUGGAGGUCCAAUGACUCAACCCAGAUCACAGUUAGAGGGUCUUCUCACUGCCAGGAGGUUCCAAAUAGAAAACUUCUGCUUUAUGGACUUGAGAGCUAAAAAGGUAGGGACAAGAGGGUUAAAAAUGGAAACAUACUAAGUGAAAGGUCCUUACCGCCUUAUUUGCUCUUAAGGAGGUCUUCCUGAAGGUAUUUAAAAAGAAUCUCAGUAUAGGGUUUCCUUCCCAUGGGGGGCCUUUGAAUAGAGUGACAAGGCUAGGAAUGCAAAUAGCUCACCGUUGGGGAAGAAGAUGAAAUUGCAACUUCCUGUAGAAAUCAUGAUGCCCUAACUAACUAUGCACCAAGUCUGGUAUAAGAAGGGCAGCCCACCCUAUCCUUUGUCCUACCCCUGCAAAUCCUGUCACAUAAAGCCUGUGUAAUUGCCUGUGAUUGAGUAUGAAAGGAUUUUGGCCUGGACUGGAUUGCUAAGAAAAGUUAUUUAGAUGGUAGGAUUUGGAAGACCUUUACUAAAUGAAUGGUAUUAAAUUGCUUCUUGGGGAAGAGGGAGAAUUUGUGGUAUUCAGCUUUGCAGUGAGAGUGGGGAACAACAAGAGGAAAAACACUUAAGCAGACUGAGUGAGUUUAAAGAACCCUUUGGUACAUUUGGUUGUGUAAUACUCUCUAGGGUGAGAAGGGUAGGAAGGCGGACUAAAUCAUUUGUAGAUAAUAUGGAAGUACAUGUUGAUUUUGAAGUAGGGGAAUAGAGCUAAGUUUAUCUUAUAAUAGUGAACAAGAUGAACUGGAUAACAGAAAGAACAUUUGGGAAACUGUAAAAUAAUUUGACCCAAGGAACCUUUAUGAAGCGAGGUGGGAGGUCAUGUUUUUACUUAAGAUGUUAAUAACUAUUGUACCUCUUGCAAAAAUGUACUUAAGAGUUG
rnacentral:lncRNA from 1 species